GAGUUUGAUCCUGGCUCAGGAUGAACGCUAGCGGCAGGCUUAACACAUGCAAGUCGAGGGGCAGCAUGUCCAGCAAUGGAUGAUGGCGACCGGCGGAAGGGUGCGUAACGCGUGAGCAACAUGCCCUAUACAGGGAGAUACACCAGGGAAACUUGGUCUAAUAUCCCAUAGCAUUCAUUGAAGGCAUCUUUAAUGAAUUAAAGCUUCGGUGGUAUAGGAUUGGCUCGCGUGACAUUAGCCAGAUGGUGAGGUAACGGCUCACCAUAGCAAUGAUGUCUAGGAGUUUUGAGAGGAAGGCCCCCCACACUGGGACUGAGACACGGCCCAGACUCCUACGGGAGGCAGCAGUGAGGAAUAUUGGACAAUGGAUGGAAAUCUGAUCCAGCCAUGCCGCGUGCAGGAAGACGGCCUUAUGGGUUGUAAACUGCUUUUAUACGGGAGCAAUAAGGGUUACGAGUAAUCCGAUGAGAGUACUGUAUGAAUAAGGAUCGGCUAACUCCGUGCCAGCAGCCGCGGUAAA
rnacentral:rRNA from 1 species